AUUGAACGCUAGCGGCAUGCCUUACACAUGCAAGUCGAACGGCAGCACGGGGGCAACCCUGGUGGCGAGUGGCGAACGGGUGAGUAAUGCAUCGGAACGUGCCCAUCGAUGGGGGAUAACUGCGCGAAAGCGUUGCUAAUACCGCAUACGACCUACGGGUGAAAGCAGGGGACCGCAAGGCCUUGCGUCGAUGGAGCGGCCGAUGCCGGAUUAGCUAGUUGGUGAGGUAAAGGCUCACCAAGGCGACGAUCCCGUAGCUGGUCUGAGAGGACCGACCAGCCACACUGGGACUGAGACACGGCCCAGACUCCUACGGGAGGCAGCAGGUGGGGAAUCUUGGACAAUGGGCGAAAGCCUGAUCCAGCAAUGCCGCGUGUGGAAGAAGCCUCGGUUGUAAACCACUUUUGGCGGGAAAGAAAUGGUCUGUGCUAAUACCACGGAUUGAUGACGGUACCCGCAGAAUAAGCACCGGCUAACUACGUG
rnacentral:rRNA from 1 species